rnacentral:sRNA from 1 species
UUUGUUUUGUCUUUUCAUUCCUAUUUUCAAUUCUUUACU